GACGAACGCUGGCGGCGUGCUUAACACAUGCAAGUCGAACGGAAAGGCUCCAGCUUGCUGGAGUCCUCGAGUGGCGAACGGGUGAGUAACACGUGGGUAAUCUGCCCUGCACUCUGGGAUAAGCCUGGGAAACUGGGUCUAAUACUGGAUAUGACCUUUCUCCUUAUGGGGUUUGGUGGAAAGUUUUUCGGUGUAGGAUGAGCCCGCGGCCUAUCAGCUUGUUGGUGGGGUGAUGGCCUACCAAGGCGACGACGGGUAGCCGGCCUGAGAGGGUGAUCGGCCACAUUGGGACUGAGAUACGGCCCAGACUCCUACGGGAGGCAGCAGUAGGGAAUAUUGCACAAUGGGCGGAAGCCUGAUGCAGCGACGCCGCGUGAGGGAUGACGGCCUUCGGGUUGUAAACCUCUUUCAGCAGGGACGAAGCGUAAGUGACGGUACCUGCAGAAGAAGCACCGGCUAACUAUGUG
rnacentral:rRNA from 1 species